GAUCCGGUGGCCUAGUAGUUAGAGCGACUGCCUCGGAUGCGGGAGGUUGUGGGUUCGAUCCUCGGUGGAGUCA